UGCGCAGGCGGCUUGGAAAGAACGGUGUGAAAUCCCGGGGCUCAACCUCGGAACUGCACUAUUAACUGCCAAGCUAGAGUAUGUCAGAGGGGGGUGGAAUUCCGCGUGUAGCAGUGAAAUGCGUAGAUAUGCGGAGGAACACCGAUGGCGAAGGCAGCCCCCUGGGAUAGUACUGACGCUCAGGCACGAAAGCGUGGGUAGCAAACA
rnacentral:rRNA from 1 species